GACGAACGCUGGCGGCGUGCUUAACACAUGCAAGUCGAACGGAAAGGCCCUGCUUUUGUGGGGUGCUCGAGUGGCGAACGGGUGAGUAACACGUGAGUAACCUGCCCUUGACUUUGGGAUAACUUCAGGAAACUGGGGCUAAUACCGGAUAGGAGCUCCUGCUGCAUGGUGGGGGUUGGAAAGUUUCGGCGGUUGGGGAUGGACUCGCGGCUUAUCAGCUUGUUGGUGGGGUAGUGGCUUACCAAGGCUUUGACGGGUAGCCGGCCUGAGAGGGUGACCGGCCACAUUGGGACUGAGAUACGGCCCAGACUCCUACGGGAGGCAGCAGUGGGGAAUAUUGCACAAUGGGCGGAAGCCUGAUGCAGCAACGCCGCGUGCGGGAUGACGGCCUUCGGGUUGUAAACCGCUUUCGCCUAUGACGAAGCGUGAGUGACGGUAAUGGGUAAAGAAGCACCGGCUAACUACGUG
rnacentral:rRNA from 1 species